ACGCUCGACACCUACGGGAGGCAGCAGUGGGGAAUAUUGCACAAUGGGGGAAACCCGUGAUGCAGCAACGCCGCGUGAAGGAAGACGGUUUUCGGAUUGUAAACUCCUGUUCUUAGUGAAGAUAGUGACGGUAGCUAAGGAGCAAGCCACGGCUAACUACGUGCCACAGCCGCGGUAAUCUGAGGCGGGCUGGCAAGGC
rnacentral:rRNA from 1 species